rnacentral:rRNA from 1 species
GGGAGAUGGGUWAUURCUAACGCGGAAAUCUUCCGGGCCGRCACACUGAGGAUUGACAGCAAUAUAAUCUUUGCUUCGGCAUUGAUAUGUUAAAUAUGCUAGUCCUUUCAUGAUUAUGUAUAGGUGGUGCAUGCCGUUCUUAGUUCGUGGAGUGAUCUGUCUGCUUAAUUGCGUUUCACUAAGGCCUAUAAAUUUACGUAUGUUGUAUCCCGCACUUUKACCCCUUUCUUUAAUUAGAAAGCGCGUGUCUUAGUUUCGCUUUGCUCAUACAAUUAGGUCCUGAAAGCAACGAACGUGACCGCAACCUCUUGUUGCCUUUAUACCAAACAUGUUUAUUCAUUUUUUAAUGUUCAUUCCAUGAAAAAAGGCUUUUUAAACUAGAGGGACCGCUGUUACUUUCUUAAACCAGAGGAAGGUUGCGGCAAUAACAGGUCUGUGAUGCCCUUAGAUGUUCCGGGCUGCACACGUGCUACAAUGAUUAUUGCAGUGAGCAUCUCAUUUUUACACACCGCAUGCGCGAGUCCAUUUAUUCACCUUCGGGUGUUUUAAAUGUGUACCUCUGCGCGCGGUAAAGCCUGCUUCGAAAGUAAGUGGGUAAUCAAUUAGAAGUAAUGAUUUCCUUUUUUAGCACACAUAUAUACGGCGUCUAUGCCCGGGUUACCUUGUUGUAGCUUUUGUGUGUAUAGAUGUUUUUUCCGUAUGUGCGAUUGUCAAUUCAUGGUGGGGACAGACCAUUGUUAAUUGUUGGUCUCGGUCUUAACUAGGAAUGCCUUGUACGGGUCUUUGGUUCAACAAACCACCCGGAAUACGUCCCUGCCCUUUGUACACACCAGCCCGUCGCUCUUACCGAUGGACUUCUCUGUGAGUUUGAGGGACUGGGAACGCAGGAAUUUAUAUUUGCACACCUAGGARACUKAAACGAACAGUGG